rnacentral:lncRNA from 1 species
AGCCGUUGGGAGCCCAGGAGGCGGGGCGCCUGUGGGAGCCGUGGAGGGAACUUUCCCAGUCCCCGAGGCGGAUCCGGUGUUGCAUCCUUGGAGCGAGCUGAGAGCUCGAGUACAGAACCUGCUAAGGCCAUCAAACCUAUUGAUCGGAAGUCAGUCCAUCAGAUUUGCUCUGGGCCGGUGGUACCGAGUCUAAGCACUGCGGUGAAGGAGUUAGUAGAAAACAGUCUGGAUGCUGGUGCCACUAAUAUUGAUCUAAAGCUUAAGGACUAUGGAGUGGAUCUCAUUGAAGUUUCAGGCAAUGGAUGUGGGGUAGAAGAAGAAAACUUCGAAGGCUUAACUCUGAAACAUCACACAUCUAAGAUUCAAGAGUUUGCCGACCUACCUCAGUGAUGUCACCAUUUCUACCUGCCAUGUAUCGGCGAAGGUUGGGACUCGACUGGUGUUUGAUCACUAUGGGAAAAUCAUCCAGAAAACCCCCUACCCCCACCCCAGAGGGAUGACAGUCAGUGUGAAGCAGUUAUUUUCUACGCUACCUGUGCACCAUAAAGAAUUUCAAAGGAAUAUUAAGAAGGACUCCUAGAAGUACCCCACCCCACCCCUGCUCCUUGGAGGACAACGUGAUCACUGUAUUCAGCUCUGUCAAGAAUGGUCCAGGUUCUUCUAGAUGAUCUGCACAAAUGGCUCCUCUCCUCCUUCCUGAUGUCUGCCAUUAGCACUGGAAUAAAGUUCCUGCUGAAAAUCCACA